UGACUGCGUACCUUUUGUAUAAUGGGUCAGCGACUUAUAUUCUGUAGCAAGGUUAACCGAAUAGGGGAGCCGAAGGGAAACCGAGUCUUAACUGGGCGUUAAGUUGCAGGGUAUAGACCCGAAACCCGGUGAUCUAGCCAUGGGCAGGUUGAAGGUUGGGUAACACUAACUGGAGGACCGAACCGACUAAUGUUGAAAAAUUAGCGGAUGACUUGUGGCUGGGGGGGAAAGGCCAAUCAAACCGGGAGAUAGCUGGUUCUCCCCGAAAGCUAUUUAGGUAGCGCCUCGUGAAUUCAUCUCCGGGGGUAGAGCACUGUUUCGGCAAGGGGGUCAUCCCGACUUACCAACCCGAUGCAAACUGCGAAUACCGGAGAAUGUUAUCACGGGAGACACACGGCGGGUGCUAACGUCCGUCGUGAAGAGGGAAACAACCCAGACCGCCAGCUAAGGUCCCAAAGUCAUGGUUAAGUGGGAAACGAUGUGGGAAGGCCCAGACAGCCAGGAUGUUGGCUUAGAAGCAGCCAUCAUUUAAAGAAAGCGUAAUAGCUCACUGGUCGAGUCGGCCUGCGCGGAAGAUGUAACGGGGCUAAACCAUGCACCGAAGCUGCGGCAGCGACACUAUGUGUUGUUGGGUAGGGGAGCGUUCUGUAAGCCUGUGAAGGUGUACUGUGAGGUAUGCUGGAGGUAUCAGAAGUGCGAAUGCUGACAUAAGUAACGAUAAAGCGGGUGAAAAGCCCGCUCGCCGGAAGACCAAGGGUUCCUGUCCAACGUUAAUCGGGGCAGGGUGAGUCGACCCCUAAGGCGAGGCCGAAAGGCGUAGUCGAUGGGAAACAGGUUAAUAUUCCUGUACUUGGUGUUACUGCGAAGGGGGGACGGAGAAGGCUAUGUUGGCCGGGCGACGGUUGUCCCGGUUUAAGCGUGUAGGCUGGUUUUCCAGGCAAAUCCGGAAAAUCAAGGCUGAGGCGUGAUGACGAGGCACUACGGUGCUGAAGCAACAAAUGCCCUGCUUCCAGGAAAAGCCUCUAAGCAUCAGGUAACAUCAAAUCGUACCCCAAACCGACACAGGUGGUCAGGUAGAGAAUACCAAGGCGCUUGAGAGAACUCGGGUGAAGGAACUAGGCAAAAUGGUGCCGUAACUUCGGGAGAAGGCACGCUGAUAUGUAGGUGAAGUCCCUCGCGGAUGGAGCUGAAAUCAGUCGAAGAUACCAGCUGGCUGCAACUGUUUAUUAAAAACACAGCACUGUGCAAACACGAAAGUGGACGUAUACGGUGUGACGCCUGCCCGGUGCCGGAAGGUUAAUUGAUGGGGUUAGCGCAAGCGAAGCUCUUGAUCGAAGCCCCGGUAAACGGCGGCCGUAACUAUAACGGUCCUAAGGUAGCGAAAUUCCUUGUCGGGUAAGUUCCGACCUGCACGAAUGGCGUAAUGAUGGCCAGGCUGUCUCCACCCGAGACUCAGUGAAAUUGAACUCGCUGUGAAGAUGCAGUGUACCCGCGGCAAGACGGAAAGACCCCGUGAACCUUUACUAUAGCUUGACACUGAACAUUGAGCCUUGAUGUGUAGGAUAGGUGGGAGGCUUUGAAGUGUGGACGCCAGUCUGCAUGGAGCCGACCUUGAAAUACCACCCUUUAAUGUUUGAUGUUCUAACGUUGGCCCGUUAUCCGGGUUGCGGACAGUGUCUGGUGGGUAGUUUGACUGGGGCGGUCUCCUCCUAAAGAGUAACGGAGGAGCACGAAGGUUGGCUAAUCCUGGUCGGACAUCAGGAGGUUAGUGCAAUGGCAUAAGCCAGCUUGACUGCGAGCGUGACGGCGCGAGCAGGUGCGAAAGCAGGUCAUAGUGAUCCGGUGGUUCUGAAUGGAAGGGCCAUCGCUCAACGGAUAAAAGGUACUCCGGGGAUAACAGGCUGAUACCGCCCAAGAGUUCAUAUCGACGGCGGUGUUUGGCACCUCGAUGUCGGCUCAUCACAUCCUGGGGCUGAAGUAGGUCCCAAGGGUAUGGCUGUUCGCCAUUUAAAGUGGUACGCGAGCUGGGUUUAGAACGUCGUGAGACAGUUCGGUCCCUAUCUGCCGUGGGCGCUGGAGAACUGAGGGGGGCUGCUCCUAGUACGAGAGGACCGGAGUGGACGCAUCACUGGUGUUCGGGUUGUCAUGCCAAUGGCACUGCCCGGUAGCUAAAUGCGGAAGAGAUAAGUGCUGAAAGCAUCUAAGCACGAAACUUGCCCCGAGAUGAGUUCU
rnacentral:rRNA from 1 species